GUUCCUGGUAGGGCAGAGGAAGCCAGCAGGGGCCGAGAGAACUUCAAAUUCAAGGCUUCAAAUUCCAGGAGGACCAAGCUCAGAGGGUCAGAGCAGAUCCGGGUGCUGGUGACCUGGCAGAUGGAGGUCCUGGGGGCGACAGGAGGCUGAGCUAUCAUCCACGCUAUGAUCAUACGUGAGUUACUUCUUACCUCCAGGCUGGACGUUUAUACAGUUUCAUCAGGAAUCUCAAGUGAUUCUUACCACCGAAGAAGUUUUGGAAACACAUUUCAAUGAGACUGCUUCUCGGAGAGGUUCCCCAAAGAAAAAG
rnacentral:lncRNA from 1 species